rnacentral:rRNA from 2 species
UGGGGAAUAUUGGGCAAUGGAGGCAACUCUGACCCAGCAACGCCGCGUGAAGGAAGAAGGCCUUAGGGUUGUAAACUUCUGUUGUAAAGGAAGAAAAAAAUGACGGUACUUUACUAGAAAGCCCCGGCAAACUAUGUGCCAGCAGCCGCGGUAAGACAUAGGGGGCAAGCGUUAUCCGGAAUCACUGGGCGUAAAGAGAUCGUAGGCGGUUGUUUAAGUUAAAUGUGAAAGCCUUGGGCUCAACCCAAGAACUGCAUUUAAUACUGGACAACUUGAGUAUUGGAGAGGUAGGUGGAAUUCAUAGUGUAGCGGUAAAAUGCGUAGAUAUUAUGAGGAACAUCAGAGGCGAAGGCGGCCUACUGGACAAUAACUGACGCUGAGGAUCGAAAGCGUGGGGAUCAAACAGG